rnacentral:rRNA from 1 species
GUUGCAGGGUAUAGACCCGAAACCCGGUGAUCUAGCCAUGGGCAGGUUGAAGGUUGGGUAACACUAACUGGAGGACCGAACCGACUAAUGUUGAAAAAUUAGCGGAUGACUUGUGGCUGGGGGUGAAAGGCCAAUCAAACCGGGAGAUAGCUGGUUCUCCCCGAAAGCUAUUUAGGUAGCGCCUCGUGAAUUCAUCUCCGGGGGUAGAGCACUGUUUCGGCAAGGGGGUCAUCCCGACUUACCAACCCGAUGCAAACUGCGAAUACCGGAGAAUGUUAUCACGGGAGACACACGGCGGGUGCUAACGUCCGUCGUGAAGAGGGAAACAACCCAGACCGCCAGCUAAGGUCCCAAAGUCAUGGUUAAGUGGGAAACGAUGUGGGAAGGCCCAGACAGCCAGGAUGUUGGCUUAGAAGCAGCCAUCAUUUAAAGAAAGCGUAAUAGCUCACUGGUCGAGUCGGCCUGCGCGGAAGAUGUAACGGGGCUAAACCAUGCACCGAAGCUGCGGCAGCGACACUAUGUGUUGUUGGGUAGGGGAGCGUUCUGUAAGCCUGUGAAGGUGGCCUGUGAGGGUUGCUGGAGGUAUCAGAAGUGCGAAUGCUGACAUAAGUAACGAUAAAGCGGGUGAAAAGCCCGCUCGCCGGAAGACCAAGGGUUCCUGUCCAACGUUAAUCGGGGCAGGGUGAGUCGACCCCUAAGGCGAGGCCGAAAGGCGUAGUCGAUGGGAAACAGGUUAAUAUUCCUGUACUUGGUGUUACUGCGAAGGGGGGACGGAGAAGGCUAUGUUGGCCGGGCGACGGUUGUCCCGGUUUAAGCGUGUAGGCUGGUUUUCCAGGCAAAUCCGGAAAAUCAAGGCUGAGGCGUGAUGACGAGGCACUACGGUGCUGAAGCGACAAAUGCCCUGCUUCCAGGAAAAGCCUCUAAGCAUCAGGUAACAUCAAAUCGUACCCCAAACCGACACAGGUGGUCAGGUAGAGAAUACCAAGGCGCUUGAGAGAACUCGGGUGAAGGAACUAGGCAAAAUGGUGCCGUAACUUCGGGAGAAGGCACGCUGAUAUGUAGGUGAAGCGACUUGCUCGUGGAGCUGAAAUCAGUCGAAGAUACCAGCUGGCUGCAACUGUUUAUUAAAAACACAGCACUGUGCAAACACGAAAGUGGACGUAUACGGUGUGACGCCUGCCCGGUGCCGGAAGGUUAAUUGAUGGGGUUAGCGGUAACGCGAAGCUCUUGAUCGAAGCCCCGGUAAACGGCGGCCGUAACUAUAACGGUCCUAAGGUAGCGAAAUUCCUUGUCGGGUAAGUUCCGACCUGCACGAAUGGCGUAAUGAUGGCCAGGCUGUCUCCACCCGAGACUCAGUGAAAUUGAACUCGCUGUGAAGAUGCAGUGUACCCGCGGCAAGACGGAAAGACCCCGUGAACCUUUACUAUAGCUUGACACUGAACAUUGAGCCUUGAUGUGUAGGAUAGGUGGGAGGCUUUGAAGUGUGGACGCCAGUCUGCAUGGAGCCGACCUUGAAAUACCACCCUUUAAUGUUUGAUGUUCUAACGUGGGCCCCUUACCGGGGUUGCGGACAGUGUCUGGUGGGUAGUUUGACUGGGGCGGUCUCCUCCUAAAGAGUAACGGAGGAGCACGAAGGUUGGCUAAUCCUGGUCGGACAUCAGGAGGUUAGUGCAAUGGCAUAAGCCAGCUUGACUGCGAGCGUGACGGCGCGAGCAGGUGCGAAAGCAGGUCAUAGUGAUCCGGUGGUUCUGAAUGGAAGGGCCAUCGCUCAACGGAUAAAAGGUACUCCGGGGAUAACAGGCUGAUACCGCCCAAGAGUUCAUAUCGACGGCGGUGUUUGGCACCUCGAUGUCGGCUCAUCACAUCCUGGGGCUGAAGUAGGUCCCAAGGGUAUGGCUGUUCGCCAUUUAAAGUGGUACGCGAGCUGGGUUUAGAACGUCGUGAGACAGUUCGGUCCCUAUCUGCCGUGGGCGCUGGAGAACUGAGGGGGGCUGCUCCUAGUACGAGAGGACCGGAGUGGACGCAUCACUGGUGUUCGGGUUGUCAUGCCAAUGGCACUGCCCGGUAGCUAAAUGCGGAAGAGAUAAGUGCUGAAAGCAUCUAAGCACGAAACUUGCCCCGAGAUGAGUUCUCCCUGACUCCUUGAGAGUCCUGAAGGAACGUUGAAGACGACGACGUUGAUAGGCCGGGUGUGUAAGCGCAGCGAUGCGUUGAGCUAACCGGUACUAAUGAACCGUGAGGCUUAACCUUACAACGCCGAAG